AAGGUCUGCCUACAGAGAUGCUGGAACUACUGAUUUGGAGGUGCCCGUUGGAGCCCAGGAACCAAGGAACUGGAGGCUCCCCUGCUCUGAUCGUGCGCCUGGCUUGGCUGCCUCCUGCAGCCCAGCGCUACCUGCACAGCUUCUAGGAGAGGCUGUGCCUCCCACGCAUCCCAUAAGAUGUCUACAGGAAUUCAGAGGCCAAGGAGCCCACGGAGGCCUGGAGAGAGGAGGCAGGGUGUCCCGGAGAAGGAGGAGGGCAGAGCACAAGCUGCUGCGUUUCUACUCUGCCUCCUGUGUCAGCAACUCUCCCCAUCCACAGGAAGGAGCCCGGGCAGAACUGAAGGUUAUCACAAGGAGCUGCUAAACAGAUCAAAAGGCAUUGAAGGAUGGAGUGACAUUACAUAUGAUCUGCCCAAUCCUUGACUGCACAUCACAUAAGCAGUCCUAAGGAUGUGAAGUAUAUGAUGCCACCAGUUGAAUGGAUUGAAGCUCCUACACAUACACUGUUGGUUUCAAAUUCUCUACUCUACAACAUCAGAAAAGAAUCUAUUUUUGGUUAGAUAACAAAUGUGCUAUGUUACUCUAGAAUAAAGACAUCUGUUUACUUACAAUUUU